rnacentral:misc_RNA from 1 species
GAUGAAGAACGCAGUGAAACGCGAUAAGUAAUGUGAAUUUCAGAAUUCAGUGAAUCAUCGAAUCUUUGAACGCACCUUGCGCUCUUUGGUAUUCCGAAGAGCAUGCCUGUUUGAGUGUCAUGAAGAUAUCAACCUUGACUUGGGUUUUGUGCUCUAGUCUCGGCUUGGAAUUGGGUGCUUGCCGCUUUUACGAGCGGCUCACCUUAAAUGUAUUAGCUGGAUCUGUCUUUGAGACUUGGUUUGACUUGGCGUAAUAAGUAUUUCGCUAAGGACAUUCUUCGGAGUGGCCUCGUUUCUAGGACGCUUGUCCGCUUUCCAAUACAAGUUCCACCUCGUGGACAUGACUUUUUAUUAUCUGGCCUCAAAUCAGGUAGGACUACCCGCUGAACUUAAGCAUAUCAAUAAGCGGAGGA